UCUCCUCCCACCCUGCCUCCU
rnacentral:miRNA from 1 species